CCUCUGGAGAAUCCCGGGCAAGCCGGGUGCCGAAGGGGCAAGGGAUGCCGUGCCGACCGUCGCCGAAACGCCGGAGCGCGCAUCCUGAAACUCUCAGGCCAAAGGACAGAGCG
rnacentral:ncRNA from 1 species